rnacentral:misc_RNA from 1 species
CAACCCUCAAGCUCUGCUUGGUAUUGGGCGUCACCACUCGUGGUGUGCCUUAAAAUCAGUGGCGGUGCCAUUCGGCUUCAAGCGUAGUAAUUUCUCUCGCUUCUGGAGUCCGGGUGAGCGCUUGCCAGCAACCCCCAAUUUUUUCAA